GAUAAAAAUUAAAUAUUUUAUCAUGUAUUAUAUAUUAUUUCAAUUAAUUGAUGUCUCAAAUUUUAUCUUAAACAUGAUUAUGGAGAACAAAGUAUAAACAAAGGACAUUCCAUUAAAGUAUCGAAUUCGUUCUUUUUCGCUUACAUAAAGUGUCAUAUUAACUAAUAAUGUUACUAUUAAUUCAAUCCAAAAUAUAUAUUUAAUUAAAAUAAUAGCAACAUGAAAAGAUUUUGCAUUAAUUUAUGUAUAUUACAAAGACACGUGAGCCCCCGAAUGAACAUUGUUAAACUUUCAUUCAGCUUGAAUCUAGACUGGUGGUGUUAAUAAAUUUGACGUUUUAUUACCUGAAUUAAUUUAUUAUCAAUAAUUAAAUAAAUUAUCAUAAUUUAUUACAAGUUUAGUAUUUUAUGUAUGUUAUACUACUUGUAUUCUUUGCAAAUUAGUUUUUCUUAUAGGAAAAAAAAAACUUAUAUUUUUAGGCGUGUGUUCACGUUACUCUAAUUUGAUUCAUUGUGUUAAAGAGUGGCGAAUUCACAAAUUUUUAGUAAUUCUACCUUUACUGUCAUAAUGAAAUGUUCAUCAUUUAUUCAAAGGAUAAAUGCAACAAUAGUUUCUAUAAUAAUAAUCUUUCUCAAUGUUUCUAGAUAGGAUCAUUUGUUGCAGUAAAUGAGCUGUAUUCUGUUUUCUACAAAAGACGACAAAAAUGAAAGAACUACCAUUUAUUGGAAUUUGAAAUGAAAAAAAAAAUUCAAUUUUCUAUCACUUUUUAUAAGAAUUUUAAUUUUGGUGGGAUUACUAAAGGAGAAAGAAGGACGGAGACUCCUCAAGCAAAAAUCGAACCCAUGCUCUCCGGUGCAAUUAGACGUCAAUUGGCCGAUCAUGAGACGAAAUAAUGUUUUCUUAGGACAUUGUUGCUGUUUAAUUUAGUUAAAGCACAUAGAGUCAAUAAAGUUCGAGUCGACAAAGAAG